ensembl:lncRNA
GGAUUUUCCUCUUUUCAUGCUUUGGGCACUCACAGGUUUUCGGCUGUCUCACAGAGCCUGCAGCAGCAAGCUGCUUCCUUCGAAGGGUCUAUGGAUCCUCUCAGCUUUCCAAAUAUGUUUCUGCAGUAGCUCUUGGAGCAAAGCUUCAUGAGGUGAGUCUCCACCUACUGCUCUGUCCAUUUGAGUGAGAGCUGCAAGUUAGUCCUGCCUCCUAUCUGCCGUUUUUCUAAUUUUCUCCAUGAGUGACAUUCUUGACUUGCUCUUGAGAUCUUUAGUGAAAGCAUUUAGUCUGUCACCAUUAAGUCUAAUGUUAGUGUAGGGUCCUUUGUAGGUAUAUGCUUUUUAUCAAGUUAAGGGAAAUUUCCCCUCUAUUUCUAUUUUUUGGGGAGUUUAAAAAAAUCGUGAAUAGUCAUUUAAUUUUAUCAAAUGUUUAUGCAUGAAUUGAUAUAAUCGUGUGAUUUUUCUUCUUUAGCUUAUUAAUAUACUGGAUUACAUCACUUGAGUUUUAAAUAUUGGAUCAGUCUUCUAUAUCUAAAAGAAAAUCCACUUAGCAUAGCUUUAAUUAUUUUUAUAUAUGCUGAAUUCAAUUGGCUAAUAUUUUGUUGUUAUUAUGUCUGUAUUCAUGAGGAAUAUUGAUGUCUAGUUUUACUUUGUGCUGUCUUUAUCUGGUUUUGGUAUCAGGGUAGUAUAUGCUUCCUAAAAUGAGUUGAGUGGCUAUAUUCCUCUUCUAUAUACUGCAAGAGAUUGUGUACCACUGGUGUUAAUUUUUCUUUAAACAUUUGUUAGAAUUCUCCAGUGAAACCAUCUGGGCCUGGAGUAAAGGUGUGUGGCAUUGUUACUGUGGUCACUGCUGAGGAGGUAGAGGGAGUAUUCACAGCCAAGUUGCCACGAUUUUGUCGUUAUGGAGACAGACAUGCUGGGCUUCAAAACGAGGCUGUUUUUCUCCAGGUAUGAUGUUGCUGUGGAAACACAAAGCCCGAAUCCUCAAAGAACACUCUGUUCUAGUCCCAGCUGCUUUAUCCGUCUGCGUUGUGUCUCAUUAGCAGAAGAGCCUCGUGAGAUAGGAGUCGCAUCUCUGCUCACUCAUAUCUCUAGAGAAGGGCCCUACCCCUGGACUUUUUCCUGGAUCGGAAUGUGCAAUCAACACUUGACAGCAUGAACAAAGAGGAAAAGGAAACAACAAACCUCAGAAUAAAACCCCAGGAUGAAGGAGUGACUUUAACUACUCUGUCAAGUAUAUUUACCUAAUUCAAUGAUUUAUAAGUCAUUCAAUAAACAGCUUUUGUGCAUUUUGAUGUGAAAGGCCCCAUGUUAGUUACUGUUGUGGUGGUGGUAGAGGGGGUAUGUGGAACAGGGAAGAAUAUAUGGAAAGAAGUCUGCCCUUGAGUUGACAGCUUAUCAUAGAGGAAGUUAGGUAACAACACAGGCAACCAGAGUGGAAAGUCAAAUGUUGUAAGUGCAAAUAAAAGAACUGCAAACAACAUGGAGCAACAGCAAUUGGAGAAAUCUUAUCCAGCAUAGGGAAUUAGGAGAGAGCCAACAAAGGAAGUUCUGAAAAGAUUAAGGACCUAGAACUAGAAACACUAUUUGACCCAGCCAUCCCAUUACUGGGUAUAUACCCAAAGGAUUAUAAAUCAUGCUACUAUAAAGACACAUGCACACGUAUGUUUAUUGCAGCACUAUUCACAAUAGCAAAGACCUGGAAUCAACCCAAAUGUCCAUCAGUGACAGAUUGGAUUAAGAAAAUGUGACACAUAUACACCAUGGAAUACUAUGCAGCCAUAAAAAGGAUGAGUUUGUGUCCUCUGUAGGGACAUGGAUGCAGCUGGAAACCAUCAUUCUCAGCAAACUAUCGCAAGAACAGAAAACCAAACACCGCAUGUUCUCACUCAUAGGUGGGAAUUGAACAAUGAGAUCACUUGGACAUAGGAAGGGGAACAUCACGCACCA